UCUUGGCUCUCGCAUCGAUGAAGAACGCAGCGAAAUGCGAUAAGUAAUGUGAAUUGCAGAAUUCAGUGAAUCAUCGAAUCUUUGAACGCACCUUGCGCCUUUUGGUAUUCCGAAAGGCAUGCCUGUUUGAGUGUCA
rnacentral:rRNA from 1 species